UACGGGGGGGGCAAGCGUUGUUCGGAAUUACUGGGCGUAAAGCGCGCGCAGGCGGCCUUUUAAGUCUCGUGGUGAAAUGCCGGGGCUCAACCCCGUGCCCGCCGGAGAUACUGGGAGGCUGGAGACGAGUAGAGGCAAGCGGAAUUCCGGGUGUAGCGGUGGAAUGCGUAGAGAUCCGGAAGAACACCGGAGGCGAAGGCGGCUUGCUGGGCUCAGUCUGACGCUGAGGCGCGAAAGCGUGGGGAGCGAACAGG
rnacentral:rRNA from 1 species